rnacentral:rRNA from 1 species
GACGAACGCUGGCGGCGUGCUUAACACAUGCAAGUCGAACGGAAAGACCCUGCUUUUGUGGGGUGCUCGAGUGGCGAACGGGUGAGUAACACGUGAGUAACCUGCCCUUGACUUUGGGAUAACUUCAGGAAACUGGGGCUAAUACCGGAUAGGAGCUCCUGCUGCAUGGUGGGGGUUGGAAAGUUUCGGCGGUUGGGGAUGGACUCGCGGCUUAUCAGCUUGUUGGUGGGGUAGUGGCUUACCAAGGCUUUGACGGGUAGCCGGCCUGAGAGGGUGACCGGCCACAUUGGGACUGAGAUGCGGCCCAGACUCCUACGGGAGGCAGCAGUGGGGAAUAUUGCACAAUGGGCGGAAGCCUGAUGCAGCACCGCCGCGUGCGGGAUGACGGCCUUCGGGUUGUAAACCGCUAUCGCCUGUGACGAAGCGUGAGUGACGGUAAUGGGUAAAGAAGCCCCGGCUAACUACGUG